GUCGAGCGGUAAGGCCCUUCGGGGUACACGAGCGGCGAACGGGUGAGUAACACGUGGGUAACCUGCCCUGUACUCUGGGAUAAGCCUGGGAAACUAGGUCUAAUACCGGAUAUGACUCCACUAGGCAUCUUGUGGGGUGGAAAGUUCCGGCGGUACAGGAUGGACCCGCGGCCUAUCAGCUUGUUGGUGGGGUAAUGGCCUACCAAGGCGACGACGGGUAGCCGGCCUGAGAGGGUGACCGGCCACACUGGGACUGAGACACGGCCCAGACUCCUACGGGAGGCAGCAGUGGGGAAUAUUGCACAAUGGGCGAAAGCCUGAUGCAGCGACGCCGCGUGAGGGAUGACGGCCUUCGGGUUGUAAACCUCUUUCAGCGGGGACGAAGGGCAACUGACGGUACCCGCAGAAGAAGCACCGGCUAACUACGUGCCAGCAGCCGCGGUAAUACGUAGGGUGCGAGCGUUGUCCGGAAUUAUUGGGCGUAAAGAGCUCGUAGGCGGUUUGUUGCGUCGGCUGUGAAAACUUCACGCUUAACGUGGAGCCUGCAGUCGAUACGGGCAGACUUGAGUUCGGCAGGGGAGA
rnacentral:rRNA from 1 species